UUGCCUUGCCUCUGAUGAAGCUGUGUUGGUAGGGACAUCUGAGACUUGAUGAAUGCCAACGGCUCUGAGGGCGGCGC